UGGCGGAUUAGUCCAACAACAUUUUACAGGGCAGUCGUGUUUUGUCAUGUUUUCUUUUGUGACAGUUUUUGUUAAUCUUUUUACGUGAUUUUAAUAUGAUAUCGUCGAUAAUUUCACGUUUGGUUAUAUUGGUAUUUGGCACCCUCUACCCGGCAUACGCCUCAUAUAAAGCUGUACGAACGAAGAACCUAAAAGAAUACGUAAAAUGGAUGAUGUAUUGGAUAGUAUUCGCACUGUUCACGUGCACAGAGACGUUCACGGAUGUCUUCCUCUCCUGGUUUCCGUUCUAUUACGAGGUGAAGAUCGUUCUAGUCCUAUGGCUGCUGUCGCCAGCCACCAAAGGUUCUUCCAUACUCUACCGGAAGUUUGUGCAUCCGGCGUUAUGCCGACGUGAACAGGAGAUAGAUGAGUACAUAGCUAAAGCCAAAGAUCAGGGUUACCACACAGUGUUAAAUCUCGGCACCAAAGGCGUCAACUAUGCCACCACAGUUAUUAUGCAAACCGCCAUAAAGGGAGGCGGUGGUUUAGUUCAACAGCUGCGCAAGAGUUACAGUCUAUCAGAUUUGACUGAAUGUGAGCCUCGUGAGGAGCACGCCGCUGAUGAGGUCGACGAUGUGUUGACGGAACCUAGGCUUAUCAGGCGCGCUGUCAAAAGCGCUUAUGCGGCUCGACGCAGUGCAUCGGAGUCGAACAGCCGUCAGCCGCUUUACUUCCCCGAAGUUGACGUUGAUGUCAGACCUCGACCCAGACUUGAAGAGCCAGACUUCAGCCAUAUAAAGUCUACAGAGGACAUAAGCUCGGGCUACUCGAGCGCAGACAAUUCGACGUCCCUAACGCGUACGGCGAGUGUGGGCGCGUCUGCGAGGUCGCGAGCUAGAACUACCCGCACUACGGUCACGACGAUCAAACGACCGCAGGCCGCUGAGGAUAAAGAAGUUAUCGUCGAGGAGCUUUUGGAGGAUGAUUUUGAUAACACGAUGCCCCCUCUCGAAUCAUUAUCCUCUCCUUUAUAUCUCUCCCACACUGUGCCGCCGUUUAUUUACCAAUACGUUGGUGAUCAAGUUAAAAUCAUUCAAGUUUUAGGCAAUUAUCCUUUGGGCUCUAACAACGAGACAAAUAAUGCUAGAACUGAAAGGGACCAAGUCGAAACUGAUUCUAAUAAAAAUGAAGUGAAAUUUGAAAAAACAGAAGAAACAGAUAUGGAUAAAGAUAGCAAAGAAGAUAAAAGUCUGAUUGAUAAACAAUGCACAUUUACAGAUGAUAUGAAUGUCAACGAAUCUGACGAUACACUGCCAAAUGAAAAACUUAUGAAUGAAGCUAUUCAAGAAGAGUUUAUUGAUACAGAAAGUAGAUCGGUUAGUGAUGACUCCGUUGACAGUGACGAUGAAGCUUCCUUUGGCACACCGGAGCCGACACCAAAAUCCGUGAAAAAACUUUCAAAGGGAAAAUAUGGCAAAAGCAAAGCUCCUCUGCCACCGAAAGAAAACGAAAAAGCAGAACUGUCAAAUACUGAUAUAGAUAAUUUUGAAAUUAAUGAAGUGCAAAACUUUGAGAGCACCGAAAUUUUAGAUUCCAAACUUAUUUUAAAUGAUAGUCUGAACGUAGACUCGGAUCGACGAUCUAAAUCAAAAUCUCCCGCACGAGGAAGUGGAAGUAAUCUGGGUUUUGGUAAACUGUUACAAUUUCCAAGUAAACUCGCUUUUUGGGCUAAAGGUGAUGAGAAAUCAAAAUCUGAUUUAUCAAUAUCAGCACCCAAUGAUAGUGAACAAUCUUCCUUAAAAACAAAUUACGAAUUUCAAAGUUGUUUUGAUAUCGCCAAUACUUCCAAAGAAAUUUGUUUGACAGAAUUAGAAAAUGGCUCCAAAGAAAUGCACAAAGAAAAUAUUAUACAAGGUAUAAAAGAGAAGAGUGACGAAUUACAAAAAUUAAUCAAAACUAAACUUGAAAGUCACCCAGAGUAUAAAUUUAUUCCUUUAAAUGAUAAUGUCACAUUGUCAAAGAGCACAGAUGUGUAACCCUCCUGGUUCCAUUUUAUAAAGCUGCGAGACAACUGAAUAAUCACUUUAUUUUUAGCAGUGCUGUCGGCCUCUGCUACAAUACCUCGCGCAAAAAAAUCUAGUAAAAGGAAAACUCAAUAAACACAUUCAAAGAACUAAAAAUCAGUAUAAUUUAAAUUAUUUAUCAUCUAUGCUUUUAAAUAAAGAUCAAAGCGAAGCAUGUUUUAAUUAUAAUUUGUUGUGCAAUUAGAAAGUUACCAAUAAUAUAAGCAUUAAAUGCAAAUACUUAGUGCAAUAAGGGUUUUGGUUAUGAGAAAACUAAUCUCAAAAGUUUCUAUUUCACUUUGCUUGUUGAAAUCUAAAACCCGAAGGGUUUUUUUUUCUUUGGAAAUAUUAUUUUAGCCAAAAUUUGCCAAAUUUUUAGUAAUUGGAUACUUCAAUAGCAUGAAUAGAUUAUAGAUAGAAUAGAUAGUUGUAUGCCUUGAUAAGAUACUCAAGCCCAAAGAGCCUGUUACACAAAUAAUUUAUUUCUAUAAAAUAGGAGGCUUCUGACAAUAUAGUGCACUAUGGUGUGUGGUACUCAUGAAUAUUUAUGACAUUACGAUAGUUAAUUAUAUUAUAUAAAUAUUUAUGUAAACAUGUUUUACAAUUCAGAGACCAUUUAUGUUUUAACCUUUUUUAGAUCUGUUAUAAAUUAGGAUUUGACAUUAUGUUCCUUAUGUAGAUUUUAAUUUAGUGUAGUAGAGCACAAAAUUAUUAUGAAAUUACGCUAUUACUUGGACGUAACCAUGACAAAUUUAAAUACUAUUGUAAAUAUAUAUUAAUCCAAGCAUUGGUUGAAUAUUGUAAGGGGCUUAUUGCUUCCAGUGUUGUAGCAUUUGUGCACAUCAAUGCUCUACAAUAAUGUAAGUUCUCUAAGUAUUUAGAUAAUGAUGAUCAUAUUUGUGUUUCAAUGGAAUAAAAAAAGAU